GAUGAAGAACUUAGUGAAAUGCGACAAGUAAUGUGAAUUGCAGAAUUCCGUGAAUCAUCGAACCUUUGAACGCACAUUGCGCCCGUCAGUAUUCUGGCGGGCAUGCCUGUUCGAGCGUCAUUACGCCCCUCAAGUCCCCUGUGGACUUGGUGUUGGGGAUCGGCGAGGCUGGUUUUCCAGCACAGCCGUCCCUUAAAUUAAUUGGCGGUCUCGCCGUGGCCCUCCUCUGCGCAGUAGUAAAACACUCGCAACAGGAGCCCGGCGCGGUCCACUGCCGUAAAACCCCCCAACUUUUUAUAGUUGACCUCGAAUCAGGUAGGACUACCCGCUGAACUUAAGCAUAUCAAUAAGCGGAGGA
rnacentral:misc_RNA from 1 species